AAACUAAACGAUCACAGAUCAGUGUAGACUACGACGCCAUACGACAGGUAAACUAAACGAUCACAGAUCAGUGUAGUCUACGAUGCCAUACGACAGGUAAACUAAACGAUCACAGAUCAGUGUAGACUACGACGCCAUACGACAGGUAAACUAAACGAUCACAGAUCAGUGUAGACUACGACGCCAUACGACAGGUAAACUAAACGAUCACAGAUCAGUGUAGUCUACGAUGCCAUACGACAGGUAAACUAAACGAUCACAGAUCAGUGUAGACUACGACGCCAUACGACAGGUAAACUAAACGAUCACAGAUCAGUGUAGACUACGAAGCCAUACGACAGGUAAACUAAACGAUCACAGAUCAGUGUAGUCUACGAUGCCAUACGACAGGUAAACUAAACGAUCACAGAUCAGUGUAGACUACGACGCCAUACGACAGGUAAACUAAACGAUCACAGAUCAGUGUAGACUACGACGCCAUACGACAGGUAAACUAAACGAUCACAGAUCAGUGUAGUCUACGACACCAUACGACAGGUAAACUAAACGAUCACAGAUCAGUGUAGUCUACGAUGCCAUACGACAGGUAAACUAAACGAUCACAGAUCAGUGUAGACUACGACGCCAUACGACAGGUAAACUAAACGAUCGCAGAUCAGUGUAUUCUACGACGCCAUACGACAGGUAAACUAAACGAUCACAGAUCAGUGUAGUCUACGACGCCAUACGACAGGUAAACUAAACGAUCACAGAUCAGUGUAGUCUACGACGCCAUACGACAGGUAAACUAAACGAUCACAGAUCAGUGUAGUCUACGACGCCAUACGACAGG